AGGUAUUGUAUGGUGUCUACCCUAGAGGAUUGCAUUUUCAUGCUAGGCUUACCCUUGGCACAAAAAGGGUUCCCCCAUAGGACAUGCAUACCGAUUUUAUAGUCUUACUUACUAAUUCAGGGUAUUUUUUUUUUGUUUUUCCCCCUCCCCUGCAUUCAUAAAAAUGCUUUAAUAAGGUGAAAAUAUUUUUUCUAUGUCUGAUAAAAUUUGAAAAUUACAAGUAUUACUUGAUUCUUGGGCAGGCCUUGCAAUGAAAACAUGAAGGAUCAAUCUGGAAGCAUUAGGCUAAAGUCCCUAAGAGAUUUUAUAAUUGUUUUUCAAAGAAAAUUCUGUACAUUUGACUUGUUAAUGCAUUUUUGUCCCAAAGAAAAGGAGACAAAAA
rnacentral:lncRNA from 1 species